CAUUUAAUCUUUAUUUGACAUUUUCUCCCUUAAAACAUUCAGGCUUGGGAUUUUGCUGGCACUUUCUGCACAUUUUAACUAGAUCUAUGUAGAAUUUUCUAUAAAAUCAGGUCAGCUUGCGAUGUCUGGAGUCUGCCUGGAAGGCCUGGGAUUGCUACAGCCUCAGAUCAACCCAACAAAAGACAUUAAGGUUAACAAGUCCUUACUCCUUCCUCCUUCAUUCUUAGCCAAAAAAAUAUUCCUGAACUAUCCAUGCACCUCUUUGUCCAUCACACAAGAUAACAGCAAGAAAGUGUUGGCUACAUUACUGUGUUUCGACAUGGGA
rnacentral:lncRNA from 1 species